GACGAACGCUGGCGGCGUGCUUAACACAUGCAAGUCGAACGGAAAGGCCCUGCUUGCAGGGUACUCGAGUGGCGAACGGGUGAGUAACACGUGGGUGAUCUGCCCUGCACUUCGGGAUAAGCCUGGGAAACUGGGUCUAAUACCGGAUAGGAGCCAUUUUUAGUGUGAUGGUUGGAAAGUUUUUUCGGUGUAGGAUGAGCUCGCGGCCUAUCAGCUUGUUGGUGGGGUAAUGGCCUACCAAGGCGGCGACGGGUAGCCGGCCUGAGAGGGUGGACGGCCACAUUGGGACUGAGAUACGGCCCAGACGCCGACGGGAGGAAGCAGUGGGGAAUAUUGCAUAAUGGGCGCAAGCCUGAUGCAGCGACGCCGCGUGGGGGAUGACGGCCUUCGGGUUGUAAACUCCUUUCGCUAGGGACGAGGCUUUUUGUGACGGUACCUAGAUAAGAAGCACCGGCUAACUACGUGCCAGCCGCCGCCGUAA
rnacentral:rRNA from 1 species